GGCUCUGAACGAACGCUGGCGGCGCGCCUAAUACAUGCAAGUCGAACGAGAAUGUGUAGCAAUACACAUGUACAGUGGCGAACGGGUGAGGACUACAUGGGUAACCUACCCUCGAGUGGGGAAUAACUAGCCGAAAGGUUAGCUAAUACCGCGUACGCUUCCAAGACUGCGGUUUUGGAAGGAGAGCGAUACCGUGGGUAUCGCGCUCUUGGAUGGGCUCAUGCCCUAUCAGCUUGUUGGUGAGGUAACGGCUCACCAAGGCUUCGACGGGUAGCUGAUCUGAGAGGAUGAUCAGCCACACUGGCACUGCGACACGGGCCAGACUCCUACGGGAGGCAGCAGUAAGGAAUAUUGCGCAAUGGGCGAAAGCCUGACGCAGCGACGCCGCGUGGGGGAUGAAGGUCUUCGGAUUGUAAACCCCUUUCGGGAGGGAAGAUGGGAUGGGUAACCAUUCGGACGGUACCUCCAGAAGCAGCCACGGCUAACUUCGUGCCAGCAGCCGCGGUAAUACGAAGGUGGCAAGCGUUGUUCGGAUUUACUGGGCGUACAGGGAGCGUAGGCGGUUGGAUAAGCCCUCCGUGAAAUCUCCAGGCUUAACCUGGAAAGUGCAGAGGGGACUGUUCAGCUAGAGGAUGGGAGAGGAGCGCGGAAUUCCCGGUGUAGCGGUGAAAUGCGUAGAGA
rnacentral:rRNA from 1 species